rnacentral:lncRNA from 1 species
CAGGCAGAUGGCACUUACUCCUGAAACCGGAGAUGUCGUCUCUUGAGUCAUGGACGAGGCAGGGCUGUCACGGCUGUGCCGGUGCCGCUGCUGCUGCAGAGGAGGAGGCGGACGAAGUGCCUGACUGCAAACGAGGAGGGGAGCGGGCCAGCCUGGCGCCGGUUAGGUGCAGGGGAAGGGUGGCCCCUGGGCAGCUGGGGGUCCCGUUUGAGGAGGUGGCUGUGGACACGUUUACUUGAUUCUGACCAGGGACACUGUGGUCUGGGUCGGGUGACAAGGAGGCAGCAGCCACAAUGGAUGUGCUGUGCUUUGGGGUGUCGGGGCGAGCAAGGGCCCUUGAACCCAAACCUUUGCCCAGAACCCUUCACUGCGGGCGUCUCAGAGCCUCUAUCUAUGCCUGAAGCGCUGGGUGGGGCUGGGUGGCGGGCAGGCAGGCUGGGCUGAGAGGGGGCAGCAGGCAGGCGUGAGGGGUGGGCCCGGGGUGUUCACGUGAAACUGCCAGGGCCUGGGCGCUUCCGCAGCUCUGCUGCUGGAGGGCAGAGGGAGCCCCACAGGACGUGGGCCUGAGUGCCUGCGGCCGGCUUCCCCGGGGACUGCGGUGGGCGCUGAGGCUUGCGUUCCCUCUUCUUUACGUGCCAGGGAGUGUUUUCUCAGAUUGUUUUCCACAUUCCAACACGUCAGGUCCACCCUCGCUUGUACAGAGGGGAGCACCCUGCCUGUCCUGCAGGAGACCAGGGCUCCACAAACCCAGGCACCUACGGUCAGUUCAUCUUCAACAAAGGAGGCGAGAACGUAAGAUGGGAAAGAGCCAGCCUUUUCAGCAAGUGAGGCUGGGAAAACUGGGCCGCUGCCUGUAAGUCAGUGAAACUGGAACACACCCUCACACCAUCUGCCCACAAAUAAACUCAGCAUGGCUUAAAGACUUCAGCGUAAGACAAGACCAUCAAACUCCCAGGAGAGAACAAGGGCAAAGCAUUCUCUCCCAUCAACCGUGCAAAUGUUUUGUCAGCACAGUCUCCCGAGGCAACAGAAAUAAAAGCAAAAAUAAACCAACGGGGAGUUUCCUUCAUGGCACAGCGGAAACGCAUCCGACUAGGACCCAUGAGGUUUCGGGUUUGAUCCCUGGCUUCACCCAGUGGGUUAAGGAUCCGGUGUUGCCAUGAGUUGUGGUGUAGGCCGCAGAUGCAGCUUGGAUC